GACAUUUCGUAAAACACAAUGUAUUGGCAUUUGCAAAAGUAGGAGUUGUAGUCUAGGGAUUACAAUUGCAAUUUUUUUAAAGUUGGGCGGGUGUAAAAAUAGAGUAAUAGUGCAAGGGUAAAAAAGCAAAGUCUAAAAAAAGACUGGUAAGUCCAUCAUUUGGUAUUAUGCAGACGACUUCAAAGAGUCUAAUCGUUAGCAAAAGGGGCCAACAAGAGGCUAUUUAAUAAGCACAUACAUACCUAUAUCACCCUGUUUACCGUCCGACAUGUAAUAUGUCCAAUAUUUACCGGGGUUGACUUAUUCCUUUUCCCAGCAUAUCACAUGAUAAUCUUACACAUGUUCUCGCCUCCUGAUAUUUGUACCUUCUAGUAGUC
rnacentral:lncRNA from 1 species